rnacentral:misc_RNA from 1 species
UUGAGCCCUGCCCUCACGGGUAGACCUCCAACCCUGUGUAUUUAUACCUUUGUUGCUUCGGCAGGCCGAAACCUAGACGGCCUGGCUAUGGGCUUCGGCUCGUAAGCGCCUGCCAGAAGACAUUCAAACUCUGUAAUCAGUGUCGUCUGAGUAAAAAUUUAAUAAGUUA